UGGGGAAUAUUGGACAAUGGGCGAAAGCCUGAUCCAGCCAUGCCGCGUGUGUGAAGAAGGUCUUCGGAUUGUAAAGCACUUUAAGUUGGGAGGAAGGGUUGUAGAUUAAUACUCUGCAAUUUUGACGUUACCGACAGAAUAAGCACCGGCUAACUCUGUGCCAGCAGCCGCGGUAAUACAGAGGGUGCAAGCGUUAAUCGGAAUUACUGGGCGUAAAGCGCGCGUAGGUGGUUAGUUAAGUUGGAUGUGAAAUCCCCGGGCUCAACCUGGGAACUGCAUUCAAAACUGACUGACUAGAGUAUGGUAGAGGGUGGUGGAAUUUCCUGUGUAGCGGUGAAAUGCGUAGAUAUAGGAAGGAACACCAGUGGCGAAGGCGACCACCUGGACUGAUACUGACACUGA
rnacentral:rRNA from 1 species